GUCUUUGUCAAGGCCAAGAAGGAGCUGUGAAGAGCUCUUCUGUGAAGGGGACUGGAGGACAAGAUUUGCAGAAGCUCUGAGUCCCUGCCGGGGAGAAGAAAAAGAUCUGCAUGUUUCACGGAUGCUGGAGCCAGAUUCUGAGAGGAAUGACAAAGUCAUUGCUAAUUGCAGCCAAUUACUCUAUCGGGCGGUAUUGGUGAGGAAAAUGACUUCAAGUCUGGAGUUGUCUUGGAAAGAAUUUCCAUACUGGAACCGGCAGCUUCCACAUGGGAGCUCACAUCUCAAUGAAAACAAGAAAUCGGAGGCCUCACUGACAACUCAUUCUCUCCACCUUCGUUCUGGGGAACGGCGACUUCCUGUUCCAGCUGCCAUAUUGUUGUCACAACCCCUGAUGCACCAUCACUUACAAACAGCCAUAAUUAUGCAUGGGGGAAAAAAAGCCACAGAUAAUAGGCUUCCAUUAGAUUAAGUAGUUAUAUGGAUCAAAAAAAAAAUAAAACCUAUACUUUGGCUAAUUAAACCCACUCACCAUCUGAUUAAGAUGUGUUGCGAGACCAUGGAAAAGUACCAACCGCUAACUGUAAG